CUUCCCCGUUGAUUUUAUCGUCUCUUCGAAGCUUGCUAAUGACUCCUACUGUCCUUUUACAGGAGGCAUGAACUAAAUGUGAACCGCUAACUAUGUCGUCCGACCUGUAUAAUCCCAGGCCCGAUUUGGUCACUAGCGGAAGCAUCAACCUUGAUCUACCAACUACAGCGCACAGUCGGUGAUAUAUGAUUGUGGCACAACAAUCAUAGGUGUCAAUAGUAUCCAUAGGCCAACAGAUAGAAGGGUCAAUGUAUAACAGAGACGGUCAAAUAAAGCUCAACUUGCUACAGGUUUAGUCCGUUCGUGGCUGGCUGUAUGCAGGGUUAUUUUCGCGCCAAUGAUUUGCAGGAGUGAUAGAGACCCAUAUCACAAACUUAUGAGAGAACUAGACAUAUCGAUAUUGAUGGAAAAACUUACAAAAUUUUGCGAAAGCGAGGACAAAAGUGAGAUCUCUGAUACUAUUGCAGGCCGAAGGACGCAGCCAGCCACGUACGAUGGCUAUGGCCCAUCAGUUAUACCCUUUUCUGAGAGCUUCCCAGA
rnacentral:sRNA from 2 species